UACGUAGGGGGCAAGCGUUGUCCGGAUUUAUUGGGCGUAAAGAGCGUGUAGGCGGCUUUACAGGUCCGUUGUGAAAACUCGAGGCUCAACCUCGAGACGCCGGUGGAAACCGUAAAGCUAGAGUCCGGAAGAGGAGAGUGGAAUUCCAGGUGUAGCGGUGAAAUGCGUAGAUAUCUGGAGGAACACCGGUGGCGAAGGCGGCAUCCUGGACCGGCAUUGACGCUGAGGCGCGAAAGCGUGGGGAGCAAAGCGGG
rnacentral:rRNA from 1 species